rnacentral:lncRNA from 7 species
GGAAAUAUGUUAAAGGUGAAUGCAAAGACAGAGAGAGCGAGCCAUUCCCCAUGGAUAGAGGAUAGGAAAAGAAGUACUAUCCUGAAAUUACAGCAAGGAAAGAUGUAGGGUAAUUGUUAGGAAAAACCUUCUGGAAGUGCAGUGCUGAAUGCUGGAACAGAUUGUCUGGGGAGAGGGAGGACUCCUCAGCUUUGGGAUUUUAACCCUGGUUAGAUGCACAUCUGCUUGGGGUGUCCAGGUGGGGCUGCUUCAGUCUUUUUUUUUCCUGGCUGCAUGCAGAGAGGAGCUGACUGUAUUCCCUGAACAGGCUGGCUUUUAGCAGGUCCCUCUAUGACUAAUAGUUUCAGCAUAUCUGAGUGCAAAGAAGACAAAUAUUUAACUUGCCUAAUUAUUUGCUUCACUCAGUCUGUCCUAGUGUUCUCUGAUAUUUUUCCUUCUCCCGGUGGCAAGGUACCUUGUGGCUUGAGGUGCACUUGAUGAACAAGGUUGAACUGGAAUCUUUGAGCAGGAAUCCUCCUAAGCCUGAACACUGCCGAACUGGUGAAGAGUGAAGUGGGAAAUACAUACUUGUGAGCUCUCGGGCUCCUGUGGCUGGCAGACACUGCAACAAGAUCCAGCACAGGAUUAAUGAGUCCUUUCUAAUGGAAGUUAUUAAAACCAUCAUUGAUCAUCAAGGCCCUGUGGCCAUAGCAGCAUCCCUGGGGGAAGUGGUGUGACACUGCCCUGGAGCAAUGGACUGUGACAGAGACAUUUCAGGAGCUGGACUUGAUGGUCCCUAUGGGUUCCUCCCAACUUGGAUAUUCUGUGAUUCCACGAUUUCCAGGACGAAUGGAGAAAGUGUACUUCCAGCCCAUUGAUUCUGCUCCCUGGACUGGUGGCUAAGGUCUGGCUGCUGAGAAGGUGAGGACAUUGCUGGCCCCAGAACCGAGCACACCUUGCCAGCAGCCAGUGCUCUGCACUCAGGAGACUGUCUUCAGUCAUGACCAGCUUCAGUGCAACUGCACAUUGUCUGCAUUUAUGGCUAUGAAGAGGGAGGAUGACGUGACAAAAAGCUCGUGAACGCUUUCUGCAGGCUGGAUGGGAAGUGCAGCUGAGGAUUUUGCGCAAGCAUCAGCAGUGCAGAGCCGUCUGUCUCUCUUUUGGAGACAAAAGUGAGGAUUAAAAUAUUUUUUUGUUG